rnacentral:lncRNA from 13 species
CCCCCCCCCCCCCCCCCCCAUCCUGCUCUUUAUUUCCCCUCCUUCCCUCUGGGGUCCAGCUGUGAAACAACAUGAAUGGCGCAGAGGGAGGAACACUUCUUCUCUACUUCCUUUACCCCACACUGUUGAGUUAAACAGCCCAGAUUACCAUCGCUGAUACAAUCACACUGUUUCUCUUCUGUGAAUAGUGUGAAAUCUGCUCAUGGUUACUGCACAUUACAUAGUCACUUUCACUGCUAUUGAAUUAACAUCUGCGUGUACUGCGUAUACCUGCAGGUCCGUUUGUCAGUGUGGUGACGUGUGAGUCAGUCCUGGAGAAGGAAGCAGCGCUGAGAGGCCAGCUGGACACACUGAAGGAGGUGGAGAAGGGAACCACCCGCCACGGCCUGGGCAUCUUCCUCUAAAGAUAUACAGACCCUGGAGAAGAUACUGUUACUGUAGCAUAGAACAAGCUGCUCAGGGAUGGUCAUCUGAUGGAAUCUCGACUACCUGCAGCAGGUGUGGGAGAUCACCCAGCGUUGCGAUGCCCACUGGAAUGAGUGGAAGGCGGGUCUGUUUGUCACCCUGCAGACAGAGAGCAGGGGAGAACCCCGCCCAGGCCAUAGUCAAGAAUACACAAAGUCAGCAGAGAACUCAAGAUAAUCAGUGGGAGAUAGCAGACUUCUCUAAGAACAGUAUUGGCCAGUUCAAGAGGACCAUCCCUCCUAUGUUUGACCUGAGGAACCCAGCCAUGAGAGACCGUUCCGUCCUCACACUGUGCAGAGCCGAGGGGGCUGGCGCCAGUCCCCACCUGGAGGAAUGUGGGCUCCCCAAAAAAUAUUUCACUCACAGCGGUGCUCCUAACUCCUCCUCAGCUACCCUCUGA